AAGGGAAGGGAAGGGAAGGGAAGGGAAGGGAAGGAAAAAGGAAACAUCUCAAACAGAAAAGUUCACAAUCAGAAAUGUAAAGAUACUGCUAGUUUCCAAACCAGUGAAAACCUCCAAUCAAAUCAAUUCUCCUCACAGACUAAGUAUAAUAAAUCAGCAGUUUUAUAUUAAAAAAAAGAGGCAUCAGAGAAUGCUUCUUCACUAAAGAAUUUGUUAGAAGCUUUUUUGAUAUUUUCUUCUAAGAUUUCAUUUUUCAGUCUCCACCCUCCUGUUUAAGGAUCCGAAAACAGGCAUUUUCUGCUUUACACUGAAACACAGGACUCUUAAAUAUCUCCUCAGCUGCUUCCUAAUAUUUUUUUCCACAGGAAGGGAGUUAGUUCACAGAACAGUGUGCUUUGUUAUAUCUGCAUCAGCAAAGCAAAUAAGCUUGCCUCUCUUCAUCUGGAAAAGGGGCAGAGGAAGAGCACCAGGAGACAAAGCAGUAGUUAAGGAUCAUUGUGAAGGUUUCAGGGAACAAGACAACAGUCUGGAGAUAUCAGCAUUGCUAAAGGCUCCCAAGAGGACCAGGGCCAGUGAAGAAGGGAUUUCUUCGGUUUGUCUGGAAAAGGCCUGACGAUCUGCUGCUUCUUUCUUAUCAGGAAGUCUGGAGCAGACACGCACUCAAUGUUACCCAUGGUCUGCCAGCCAGUCCAGUCCCACCAGCUCUCAGCUGGCUCAUGGCAGAGCUCCUUGCAUUCCUGCUUCUUUCUCAAAUACAGGGCAACUGCCUUUCCUCAUCCUCCUAUCCUGUCCUCCCCAAAGAGCCUGUACCCAGCCACUGAAGCACCCCAGUCAUGGGAGAGUGAUUCGCCUAUUACUUGGAGACUUGGAGACUACUAAAAAUCCAGGCUCCAUCUACUGAAGAAUUCAAAGGUCAACCUCUGCCAUAGAAAACUCCAGAUAAUCUUCAGCUGCGUUUCCUCAAUAAUUAACAGGAUGGACAAGGAUAAGAUAACAAUACGCAAUCUAUUUUCCCAAAGCAGCUGACAGAAGGAAAUGGAUACCAAAUGAAUUAACUCAUUAGAACAGGACAGCACAUUUGGAAAUUCAAAACAGACUGCCUGGAAUGAUUUAAGUCUAGCAUGAGGUUAGUGCCCACCCCUUGCUGAGGCAUGUUAGUGUUGUGAUCUAGCAUUUCAGAAAGGUUGGUGGGUGUAUAUCCUGGGGUUGUGUGUUAGGAGGAGCCUGGACUUAAUUAAUUGCAUGGCUAAAAUACCACCUGUAGUGGCCACAGUUUACAUACUAAUUACAAGGGCUACGUUCACACAUGUGGACACACUCACAAACACCACGCACUGAUAUACCAAACACUUCAUAAUACAAACAAAAGUAGCUAUUACCUCCUGGUGGAGAGGAAUUAGUAACAGUGGAAGGCAUGUCAUAUGCUACAAAUGCAUUCUGUCUUCAAAAGGCUGCAUCUGUAUCCAAUAUAAAAACUUGGCAGUCAUCUGAAGGGAGCAAGGUUUCUCUCAUGCCUGACUUAUAACCAACAGAGAAUUUCACAGAAAUUGGGUUUCACCAUUUUGUCAGUCAUGAGCUGUCAGCAAAGCCUAUUUCCUUCUGAUAAACUUCCACCUGUCUCUCCUUCAAAGUUACAGGAGUGUAUUUUUUUGGAAAAUUGUGGAUCUUUAUACAGCACACCAGAUUCCAUUACAGCACUGCUGAAGUAAUAUGGACAUUUCUAGCUGUCAUUAAAAGGGUAUACUUAAGAGUUUUAGCUCAUUUUUAUUCUUCAUGGGGUAAUAAGCCAUAAUUGAGGGACUUGGGGGCUGAAUUAGAGAACCACUCACCACCACCAUGUGUAGCACAACACAUACUAUUUAAAGAGACAACUGGCAGCCAACACAGUUGGGGUAUUUCUUCACAUUUACACAGCAAGAACAUGAUAGCAAUUUUCAUUAAAAAAUAGUAACUCAAGUCCUUCUUAAGUCACUGUAUUUGUCAAUGGUUCAAACUUGAUUAAUGUGAUCAAAUAAUGGGGACAAGGGUCCUGCUGACUGGUACCUGAGGAACCCCCCCACAUGCCUACAACCAGCAGCUCUAAAAAGCUCGUUGGCAUUCCCUCUGCUGCAGGAAUCACUUGGGACAGGGGUCAUCCCCAGACAUAAGCAAUUCAAACAGCACAAGUUAACACAUGCCUGUCUGAGAAGAAAAAGAAGGAAGGAGGAAGGCUUAAUUCAUCCUCUGCACUGCCAAUCAUUUUUAGGGCAGAGCAGGGAUUGGGAAGCGUGCACACACUGAGAAAGGGCAGUCUUCAUUAGCCCCACUGCUGAUCACUGUGUGCUCUCAGAUGUCUAAGGUGGAAAGGUUGCAGCCACAGAUUUCAGAGCAUCUCCACCAUGGGUCAGUCUACAACCACCCUCGAUUAUCCAGGGUUAGGAGGGGAAGAGGUUCAAUGCUUUUCUGUGAAGUCUGUGUUUUUCCUGCUAACAUUACAAAAAGACUCCAGUUUAAAUCAAAUUGCAAGAAGUAAGAACAGAAUUACUUUAAUUCAAGGGAUGAUAUCGUAUGGUCACAGCCCUUCUUUUCCUUGAAUAUUUGGGCUUAUCAUGAUAUGCCAGUUGAUCUUAAGAAGUGUUGAAAAUCCUUCUUUUAAACAGUAUUGGUCACUCUCCUUUAAUGGGAUUCCCCACAUCCACACACAUGCACACACACACACACCCCUAACUUUUUCGUUAUGCACCAAAAGGCUGUAAUGGAGCCCCAAGUCACAGCAUUGCUGAAAUCAAAUACACUGGCAUUUUGUGGAAGCUAUCUUGCAAAUUCUGGCAGAACAGAUGUGCAAUCCCAAUUCAAGGCAAGCUCCUUGCAACCUGCCAGCUCUGCAUACAAAUUGAGAGUCUGAAUCAUACACAGUCCUCCUCCUUUAUUUUGUUCUGGCCUAAAACAGCUCUCUGAGAUCAACCUCAUCCAUGCAAACGUCCCAAAGAGAAAUGCUAGAUUUAGCUGACAGAUGCAUAAAGUCUCCUGUUGUCACAGAAUUCCCCAGUGUCUGCUCAGCACCAGAUGUCAAAGAAUGCAAAUCUACAGCUGGCUUUGGUGUUCAUUUGUACUCCAAAUUCCCUCCUUCACAGCUGCUGUUUUCUACUUCCAUGUACACAGAGCCAAAUUUUCAGAAGUAGGAGACAGACCAUGGAUCUGUAUAUUGAUGUGAAUAUACGUGUUUGUUUACUUGCCUGGAAAAUGCCUGUUUGAGCUGAACAGUAAGUGUAUUGGUGAGGGUGUAUUUGAGCAUGCUCAGCCGCCAGUGUUGGAAGUGACCCUUGCUCAUCCUUCAAAUGUAAUCUCUUUUCAACAGGUGCUCUGGAACCGGUGUUGUCUCUCUGACUCUCUCUUUGCAGUUAAACAACAGGAUUCCCAGCCUGGCUUGGCUCUCCCAGGCACCGUGGAAAUAAUAAUCAUAACCUCAGCCAGACAAAACAAAAGACGUGUAAUCGUGAGGAAGCGGAGAGCAGUGUUUCUUCACUUAUCUGUGGGAGCCUUUGCUGGCCACCCUACAAGCCCCUCAGGAAACGACUUGGCAAUGUAGCCAUUGUAUCCAGUUCUCAACACAGACAAUUGUAUCAACUUCGGAAAGCAGUGAUUUAAGAUGAAAGAACAAGAGACAUUUGCUGGUUUUACAAUACGCAAUAGCAAAGAUAUCCACCUAUCAGAUAAGAAGAAAGGAGGGAGAAGAGUUUAAAAUACUUUGUUUGAAGUGAUAUGACCUGGAACAAAUAGCCUUGGUGACAUUUUAAGAUCAAAUAGCCCCAGCAUCAAGUACCUGUAUUUCAUAUCAUCAAGGGAAGCUGUGACAAGUUCAGCCUGAUCUGCCCAAGCAAAUGAGCUAGUGCCUGCAAUAACAAAGGCUUGCGUUUCAUUCUGAGCUCCUGAAGUUAAUCCUGUUUUGUUGUUGGUUUGUUGUUGUUGUUUUCUACAAGUAUCACCAGAUUGUGUACUUAUGUAUUUGAGUUCAAGUUACUUCCUUAUGAUAAUAUCCUAAUGAAGUGUUUUAUACAGUAAUUAGAAAUGCUUCUACCUCUUUACACUUUCAGGUUGGUGACUCUUUUCCUGAAAGAAUGGAAGGGAAUUACUACUAAGGCAAAAUUAAAUAUUUCUGAAAUUGAUGAUGAAAUACAAGUUCAGGGGGUUAAAAAGCUCUCGAGAGAUGACAUUUAAAAAUGAGAUUUUUUUUAAAGGAAUAUUGAAAAUGUUGAACAAAUAUUGAAGAAAGCAAGUGUGAGAAAGGUAGGGAAGCCAGGGAGAUUUUCAAAUUGUUUGUGCCAUCAAAAUUAUGUUGAAUCUGAGUGCAGCAUGUUGAGACACAAGGUGUGAGAAAUCAGCAGGAAAACAAAGUGUUAAUUUGGCCCAGAGUAAAGCACAAGAGGUGCAUGAGGAGGGAAUUUAUAAACUCCUUGCGGUUAUGUUUGGAAAUUUGGGGGGAACAAGUAUAGGCAGCUAUUGCAUCAAAACUAACUGGAGGGAAAAGCAAUAUAAGGAUCACUGGAAAGCAGGAUUAGAAGUUUCUCCCACUGCAAAGCCUUUAUUGUGUAGGAAACAAAUAAAGGACGUUUGUGCAGAAAGAGCAGUCUAUCAACACCUGCCCCUUACCAAACUCCACUUCUGUUAAAAAGGGAAGCUAUAUUUUCUAACAGUGUCACUCUCAGAGAGUAAAUACAUAGCUGGAGAUUGCUGCCUCUGCUGACCACGGAAAGCCCUGCUGCAAAUGGGGGACCCAAGCCCCACGGUGAUGCUUUGGAGUCAGGCCACUACUGUCACUGCUCAUUCAGUACACACUGUGCACAACUGGGUUCCUUUGGGUUAAUUAUAUUGUAUGUCUGCUUUAUGUUCAUUAUCGUAGAGAUUUAUCUCAGAAGCAAUGCCUUCUGCUUGGAAAAAUAAAUGUUUCUACUUUGCUUCAUUGCCUAA